rnacentral:rRNA from 1 species
GGGGAAUAUUGCACAAUGGGCGAAAGCCUGAUGCAGCGACGCCGCGUGAAGGAUGAAGGUCUUCGGAUUGUAAACUUCUGUUGUAUGGGAAGAAAGACUCGCCAGUAAUAUGGGCGAGGGAUGACGUUACCAUAAAAGAAAGCACCGGCUAACUUCGUGCCAGCAGCCGCGGUAAUACGAGGGGUGCAAGCAUUAUUCGGAAUAACUGGGCGUAAAGGAUGCGUAGGCGGUUCUUUAAGUUCAUUGUUAAAGCUCCCAGCUUAACUGGGAAACAGCGAUGAAUACUGGAGAGCUUGAGGUUGAAAGAGAGAAGUGGAAUUCUCGGAGUAGCGGUAAAAUGCGUAGAUCUCGAGAGGAACACCAAUGGCGGAAGCAGCUUCUUGGUUCAAUUCUGACGCUGAGGCAUGAAAGCGUGGGGAGCAAAC